rnacentral:rRNA from 1 species
UGAGCAAUCUGCCCUUCACAUCGGAAUAACCAUUGGAAACGAUGGCUAAUACCGAAUAUGACUUCGGAUCGCAUGAUCUGAAGUGGAAAGCUCCGGCGGUGAAGGAUGAGCUCGCGGCCUAUCAGCUUGUUGGUGAGGUAAUAGCUCACCAAGGCGAUGACGGGUAGCCGGCCUGAGAGGGUGACCGGCCACACGUGGGACUGAGACACGGCCCAGACCUCCG